UAGGGAAUAUUGCACAAUGGGCGAAAGCCUGAUGCAGCAACGCCGCGUGUGUGAUGAAGGCCUUCGGGUCGUAAAGCACUUUUCUGGGAGAUGAGAAGGGACAGUAUCCCAGGAAUAAGUCUCGGCUAACUACGUGCCAGCAGCCGCGGUAAAACGUAGGAGGCGAGCGUUAUCCGGAUUCACUGGGCGUAAAGCGCGUGCAGGUGGCGCGGUAAGUUGGGCGUGAAAUCUCCCGGCUCAACUGGGAGAGGUCGUCCAAUACUACCGUGCUUGAGAGCAGAAGAGGAAGAUGGAAUUCCCGGUGUAGUGGUGAAAUGCGUAGAUAUCGGGAGGAACACCAGUGGCGAAGGCGAUCUUCUGGUCUGUUUCUGACACUCAGACGCGACAGCUAGGGUAGUAAACGGGAUUAGAGACCCCGGUAAUCCUAGCCGUAAACGAUGUGAACUUGGCGUUGGUGGGUUAAACUCCAUCAGUGCCGUAGCAAACGCGAUAAG
rnacentral:rRNA from 1 species